CCAUAGAGACUACCACACAAACCAUGCUGAGGCCAUGCUAAAAGCAGCUGAACUCGUUAAAGUUACCUGCAAGUGCAUGUAAACAUGGCCCAUGUUAGAACUUACCGCACACCUGUGAAAAUGGGAAACUGGAUUGAAGAUCUGCACUUAAAAGAGGAUGAAGUAAAAGAAUACCUGGAGAAAAAAGAGCGAGGUGAGCUUGCUGGCCAGAAAGUGGACUUCCUCAAAGAGAACAUUUUAAGACCGGUGAAACUCUCUGUGACAAAUGACGGUACACUGCAUUUUGGUGAUGUUGUGAUGUUAGUGAACAUGGGAAGAGGAAAUAGGGAGUGCAGCGCAGUGAGCAUUAACGCCGAUGUUAACAGCUUGACAAAGAUUCCUUCGCCCGGCAUUCAAGCCCCGUGUGCAGUCAGCGCAGAGAGGACUAUCCAGCCCUGCACACGCACUGCUUUCAUCAUUACCAGUGUAGAUGGCAGUCCUGAGGGAUCCGCUGUUCACUUUGAGCAAAGUUUUGCCUUAAAAACAACAAGUGGCUUUGCCAGGGGACUUUACUUGACAAGUGACCUGCAAAGUUUUCAAAAGUGUGCAAAGAAGUCUCGCCUCCAAGAAGUAAACCUGGAAGACAGCAAUUCCUUUCUGUCAUGGUGGAAGAUAGUGCACUUUGACCCCCAGGAAAGAUUUGAAUAUGAAGGUCUCCCCGUUGCUGCUAAUAUAAAGGUGCUGAUAAUACACUGCAAAACGAACCAGGCUCUUGCCGUUCUGGGUGAUCGAAUCCUCUGGACCACAUAUGGCAAAGAGUAUGAGGUGACGGCUCACACCUUCUUGGAUUCCCAUAAAGCUGAACAGGACAACAAUCACUGGAUACUGUGCACCUCUGACCCAGCUGGGGACGGACUUGUACUUUUUAAACACCCACAGUCGGUGGCUAACAACACAGAGCUCGAGGAGCUCAAAGAGGCAAACCCUACCGUCUAACACUACCUAUUCCUGUGCUGAAACACCAUUUCUAUUUAGGUCAUUUCUUCUAAUGUUGGGAGACUCUAAGGCAAACUCAAUAACCAGCAUUAAUAAAUAACUAUUCACUGUGGUUUACUAUUAGUAAUGAGUAAUAAUUUGACAUUAAGGUUUAUUAAUGAUUAAUAACUGGUUUGUAAGCCAUCUGUGAACAUUAUCUGGAAAGCUGCGAUAAAGUUACAGCUGAUGUUUAUAAAAUAUGGUAAAAGGUUAAUAAAUACUUGCUUGUAAUACUUGUUGGUGGGAUUAAUCAUAAGACUCUGAACCUGGGAUAUUUGGGAUAUUUUAGACAUGCACUGUAUGGACCUAGGGCUUACAUCCAGUCUCUUAUACUCUAUGCACCAGAUCAAAUGAUCAUCAAAUCUUUGUGCGUCAUGGAUCUGCUCAGACAUUCCUCAGUGGCUCUGUGUUCCUUUUUUGCUGCUCAGUCCUGUAGUUACUGACCUCUCACAAACAACUAGCUCCAACCAAAGGCGACAGAACUGAAAUUGGAGGAUGCAGGAAAAUGGGCUGACGACAUGCUGUUAUUGGCUAAGAUUUUUAUGUUCAUUUUGUGGCACUGUGUAUGCAAUGCUGUGACUAAAAUGCUACAGCUUAUGUUAUUGUCAUGAUCCUGGGUCGCUCACCCAGCAUUUUCAGUUUUGUGGGAUUUCUAAUUUUGUUAUAUUAUGUCUCUUUGAUUCUCAGCUUGUGGUGGGGGUGUCUCAUGUGCAUUAUGUUCAGUUUUGCUUCCCUUGUCUCAUUAGGUUGUUUCAGUUCACCUGUUCUCCCCAGUUAUAGCCUGUUUCCCUAAUUCUCCUGUGUGUAUUUAAGCCCUCAGUUGUCCUCAGUUCAUUGUCAUGUUGUCUGUCAUACUAGUGAGUUUCCCAGCUCUGCUUCCAGUUUGUCUGAGGAGCAAAGUUCUUUGUGUUUUAUUUAUUCCCUGCUUUUUGCCAGCAAUAAAAGCUGUGUUUUGAGUUCACAUCCAUCUUUAAGUCCACAUCCUGCCUGCCUCACUACCACCUCAUGACAGUUAUAGCAAUAUGUGCAGUGCAUUAUGGGUUACCACACAGCCUUCUCUAUACAGCUUGUAAUGAUAUGUAAUGUAAUGUUGUCCUUUGACAUCUUUGUAUCUGUUGGAUUUCUUACAGAUCUGGUUGGGUACAAGUUAAUG